UCCAGCGCAGCAGUUAGCAUGGUAAAUCACGAAAACUCUGAGCCACGCUAACCGUCUGCGGCUUGUUGUUUUCUAUAAGCGCAAUGCAAACUGUCCCGCCUGUAAACAAACGCAUACAUCAGCUGACACCCAGUGAAAUGCCUUUUAUUUGGCUUGGAGAGAGUUGCUUUCAGGAUACCGGUAUAAAUCCCAGAUCCUAGAGAGAAGCUCGCUGGACAUCACUAAGACAUUGCACAGACUGUUCCACUGGCACAAAAGGUUGUUUCAGCAAAUGAUGAAAAGGAUGCUCUCAGAAGAAGAAGAAGAAGAAGAAGAAGAAGAAGAAGAAGAAGAACUGAUUCUGAUCAUUCACAUCAUCUUUAAGGACGCUCACAGAAGAUCAGAUAAUCACUGGGGUGCAUCAAGGUUCGAUACUGAGCCCUAUUAAAUAUUAUAUAAUUCUUAAUAAAGUGGGAACAUUUAUAACAUUUGCAUUUUAAUUAUAUAAUUAAAUAAUUGUCCAUUAACAAAUGCUAAUUAAAAGAUACAAACUUUGACUUUAAAAGUUUAUUAGAACUUGUUGAAAUCGAACAAAGUGUUCCAACAUUAGGGUAAAAUUUCUAUAUACUGCACUUAUUAUUAUUAUUAAUUAACACUACAUUCUUAUUUCUCCUCGGGUAUAUUUAGGCUACAUAUAAACAAGCAGGGGUUUUUUUGUUUUGUUUUUUUGACUGUAUGUUCCCAGUGGCAUUUCUCACAAUAACUAAAACAUGUUACUAAGGAUGCAAACGGAGUCGCCCAAAUUUCCCUCCUUUAGAAACCCAUCUGGCCCCAACCCAAAAUCAAUAAAUCUGAGCUAAGGAAAAGAGCAAACAAUAUAGUUGCUCUGACCACCAAUAGACAGAGGAUAACAUGCUUUCUUGUGUUGAAUUAGGACCUUUAGAAAUCAAAUGCAGUCCACAGAGAAAAGCUCACUUAAGGGGAAAGGAAGUACUUUCAAUGCAUGUCAACAAGCAGCGGAAGAGAACUCCUAAUGAGUUCAGAAAUGCCACUGGUGUGCAUGAGGAAAAACAUGUCUCCUUGGGGUAUGGCAUGCAAACACACGCAGGCAUCUUUCAAGCUAGCGUGGGCAGUGGCAUGAACUUCUUAGCAAGUACGGGAAAUGACACUUGCAGAGCACGCAUACCUUCUCCUAAACCUUUCCACUAGAUGGCUUCCACAUGGUCUGUAGAUAGUACUGGCAUUAUUAUAGCGACCUCAUUGCAUUUUUGUGUUUAGAGCAUUGUGUCGGCCCAAAAACUGGGUAAAGCCAUUAACGUGCCACGGCAGCAGACGGGUUGCACGUUUGUUGGUGCUGGUCUGUGGUUGGACUUCGACGACGGACUGUGACCAGGACCUGUUAUUGUGUUUAUGGUGACUGUAAAGGGCUCAGCUCAGGCACUAUUACCAGAAAAACAGGAUGAGAGUGAGGUAUUGCUAGAAUCCACUACUUAAAAACAAAUUGCCAUUUUCCGCUGUUAAAGCAUUUAUGAGCAUUACGAUACUGAAAAAUGACAAGUCUGAAAAGAUAAAUGGGACAAUUUAGAGUCACGUGGACUUUAUAAACAACAGAGAGCGACGGCCAGCAGACUCCACAUCAUCUUUACUAUAUUUGACAGGGACAGCCAAUGGGGUGCCUCAGGGCUCGGUGCGUGGCCCUUUUUCAGUGCACAAAACCUCUCUCAUUUAAACAAUGAAAAUACUAUAUUUGAUUAUAUCAUAUACACACUAAAAUAUUGUGAGAAUUAAAUUGUGAAAAUAAGGGUAAUUCUCUCUGAAAAUAGUUAAAUACAUUAGAUGAGAUAAUACCGAAAAAAGUACCACCAAGUAAUUGUGUGCAUUUAGUUUUCUUACAGUUUUAAUAAUAAUAUUGUGAAAUUUUAAGCUAAAGGCUCUAUAUUACAGUCCAGUUCAUUGAUUGGCUAGUGUCAAUGUAAAUAACAGCCCCCUCUCUUUUCCUCUCCCUUUUUAAUAUCAUUAUCCAGUGUUUACAGUGACGCUUACAUAAUCCGACCUUGGUACAUCUUAACUGUCUGGCCCUACAUCCAGGAUUUCUUCCCGUCAUUGAGCGGCUGUUAUCUAACUGCUGUUUGGCGAGGCAUGCUUGGGAUAAAUGAUUGCAUUGUCAUUUGUUCCUGGCUACUUCGCAUUUGUCCCAUUUUCUCCAGGCAGAUCCCAUCGAGCUAAUCCUCUGGGUGAGAAAACAUGUGUGCCAACUGAAAUGAUAAUCAAUCUGUCUAUAAGCUGGGUUGGGGGCUGGGUACUACUUGUGGAGUUAAAGUAAGAUGGGCUUUGGCAGAUAAAUAUGGCACAACGGAGCUCUGUUCCAAAACCUAGUAAGCUGCCUGCUUAGAAAGCAUUCUCAGAAGGUAGACGCCUAUGUAGACAGCAAGGUAGCAUGCUGAAUCUAGGUGUUGAGGUUUUAUUAAGGACAUCACGCUGGAGAACAUCAGGAUGGAGAACUUGCUAUAAAUACGUUUUCAGCACAAACAUCAGUGAAAGCUAUUUAAAGUUCCUAGUUAUUUUUUAAAGGCGCUUGUAAUAUUGCCUGGACGCCUUUAAGUAUAUAAAAGGUUUAUUUUAUGGGCAAAAUAACCAAGCUGUUAAUGAGCAUAAAAAGAAGACAAAAAUAUGCAAGGUAUGUGGUUCGCCUUGGGAACAAAUGAAUACUGAGCGGUACUUCAGGAUGCGCGACGUGAAUAGAAACCUAAUAACACUUUUACUAGUGUCUACCGCCAGAAACACACAGGUUUUGUGAGCUGAAGGCUUUACUGUUGCAUGAGCAAUUGAGCCGUUGGUUUAAUAGAGUUGUUGAUCAGCAGGAGCGACUGGAAUGUUUGCGUUUCUCCAGCUCCGUAGAAGGGCAAGCGAUGGCUAUCCAAAGCUGUAUAUUGUUUUAUAAGAGUUGGAAUUACAACGUGUUACAAUAAAACUAAACUAGAUGUGUCGGUUUCUCUGCGGUUGCUAACAUCCUCGGAGGGUUUUAUCCACCUUAUUUUUUCAAAACGGCAUUUUCAGACGUUCGGCCUGAUCUUACAUUUGUGCAAUAAUUAAAAUUGGUCACCAUUUCUUUCCACUUACAGCAAUGCCGUAGAAGAGACAUUUUUGGGUCCACAAAGAACCAUUCAGUCAAAGCCAUCUCUUUCUUACCUUUCUAUAUUCUGAAGAACCUUCUUUUGCCACAAAGGACAAGAAGGUUGGCAUCUUGAAGCACCUUUUAAGAGAGUGCUAUAAUACAGGACUAAUAUGCCGGGAAACAUCAAAAGAUAUUAGAUUUACCUCAGCAAACUAAAUCGGUGUCCAUAGCUUGUUUACAUAUAUCUAUUUCUUAACAACCAUUCAAACAUUUGGGGUCAAUGAGGUUUUUUAAAAGGAUUAUCAGUGUUUCGCAAGUUUUUUCGCAUGCGUUCCUUCACGAAUACAGCUUCUAUUUGAAACAGAAACUCAAGAGCGUCACGACGGGUCGUUCAGAUCAGAAGUCCAACCUCGGCACAAUGCACUGGAAACAACAAAAGCCGGCUGGAAAUCGUUUGUUAUGUACAGGAGCGAGAGCGUGUACACCAGUAAUACCGUUCGGUGUUCGCCCAUUGUUCCAGAUACAAUAUGGGUCCGCAGCCAGAUGCAAAAAACAUCCUACGGGACCAAUUAAUAUCACACGAACAAUGCCUUCGCUGGAUUAACCCGACACAAAAGAAGCGGUCGGCUGCCAUUCGGCCUGUAAUGACCGACACCACACACUCCAUAUACGUGGCGCUGUAACGACUCCAAGAUGUAUUCGAGAGUCGCUCUCUGACGCACGAGUCCCAUCAAGGUCACCGGGGCCGUGUAUUUUCCCCUCGGGCUCCUGCGGUCCGUCAGCGUGACUUUUAAAGGGAAGCGCAGCUGUCACGAGGCCGGCCAGGAGUCACAGGUGGACAUGGAUGUCGUCGCCGGACAGACAAUGGCGUUAUAAACGGCCCUGGCAGAUGGGCACGAUGUGAAAGCAUCUGAUGUGUUUGUAACCCAGCUCAUUACACCGCGCCACCUGCGACCGAAAGAGGAAAUCAUAUGCAACUUUCCUAUUAUUCGCAGUCGGAGUCUCCCGAAAACAAAACCCAGUGGAAAAGAAGAAAACAAGCGAGGCUUGUGUUUUAAUUGUGGUGAGCAGGGCACUUCAAAGUCGCCCAUUCAGAGCAAAAUUUACCGUAAUAUUCUCUGAGCAAUGUAAAUUGCUCUGUUUACUCCGAGCGUGGCCUCCAAAUGACACGGCUGAACCCAAAACGCUGCGUAGCAUGUCUAGGAAAGUCAUCAAGCCAGGAAUCCCUGGCAGUGGUCCGCAGUCUCUCCAGACCCUUCUGGCAGUCCUGUGUAAUAAAGUUGUGGAAAGGAGCUGUUUUCAAAUUGUAAAUUCCUUUCGGGUAUUAGCUCAAAUAUGCCCAUUUGAGGGUCAACAAAAAUGCUGCUGGUGAACUUCUAAGCACAGAAAAAUGGGAUGAGAGGACUCAAACAAUUAUAUAAACUAUUCCAAUUUAUUCCACAUAAAAUAAGAUGCCUAUGCAUGCAUGCGUGUAUUUAAUAUAAAAAAUAAUUCCCAUGAUGCUAAAGUGUUGUUGCUCUAUUUAUAUUUAAAUAUGUAAUUAUUUAUUAAAGUACUAAUAUAGUAAUAUUUAGCUUUAAUGAAAAGCAAAAUAAUUUGUUUCAAUUUGUGUCAUGUUUUUUUUCACUUAUAAAUAUGUUAUAUAAAUAUAGAAUUAAAUAUUCGUAUGAAUUUUUACUCCAUCUUUAGUUUUAAUCAUUUUAGUACUUCUUACUAAAAAAUAUUGGUAACACUUUACAAUACGGUGUCAUUCGCAAACAUUGAACGAUGAAGAGUGCAUUUAUCACAUUAUUUAUUCAUCUUUAUGUUAAAUACAGUAGUUCAAGUUCAAAGUGCAUUAACUGACGUUAACAAAAACAACUCGUGAUUUUAAUAAACACUGAAAUUAACAUCAGCUAAGAUUAAUAAAUGCCGGAGAAGUAUGGAUCUUCAUUAGUUUACGUUUAUUAAAUGUUGUUAACUUUUGAACCGCAUUAUAAAGUGUUUUCGAAAUGUUUCUUUUUAUUUAUUUCACAUAUUUUAAACAUCCUGAUAUUUCCGUUAAUGCACAUUUCAUUUCAAAUAACGUAAACGUUUGCUUUUAGGUAACAAUGACAACCCCGCUGAGCGGUUGCUAGGGUGUCCCGCUUUGGUUGCUAGGUGGCUUCUUUGUGCUUUUGUGAGCAUCACGGCAACGGUUCUGGUCCAGGCCUGUUUCUGGUUUGUAAGAGCAGGCUGGUUUUCGUCAGGAUCUCGUCUGAAUGCAGGCCAAGGCCGUAAAUCUGACCGAAGGCCCGUCUGUUCAGAGGCCAUUAAAUCAGAGCUCGAAAAUACACAGAGAAGCUUCAGAACCGGAGUUUAUCAGUUCGAACACAACUAUUUCCAAUACCAGCACAAUUUUGAUUUUAUGUCUGCAAUUUAAGGAGAAAUAAAAUCAAGGAAACUCAAAACGAUUAUAUGUCGAGGAAUCCAUUUGAAUUCGUUUUUAUUGCAUUUUUUUGGAGGCGAGUAAAAAACAAGCCGGCCGCAGAAGCUACUGUUGCUUGACACAGCAGAGAUGUAAAUCUCCGGCUUUAUGAGAAAAUAAUUUGUUUACUCCGUUUCUUUGGAUUCGACACUGAUACAAACACCGUCUGGAUGCUUUAAUGGUUCCACGCUGACAUUUUAUGAACAUAUAAUCAUAUUCAACAGAUUCUGACAAGUGAAUAACACCGAGCAGAAGAGAGCUCAAAAAUAACAUCCAAACGGGAAAAUCAAUCUAAAGUCAAAGAACAGAUGAAUUGUUUUGUUUCGGUCGGUUGUUAACCCUACUUUAUAUGAUUAUUAUCAAUCAGUCGUGCUGAACAAAGACGUAUAAACAUAAAGGGGCGUGCAUUUGGAGACAAAAGUGGUUUUAACGGUUUGAAAUCAAUAACACCUCUUUUAAAAGACGACUUUAUCGAAAAGAGCGAUGUUUGGUUACUUGGCUUUAAACACAAAACAAGGAUGUUGCGUCGCAAAUGUUCAUUGCUCGGACGAAAAGCAUUGAGGCUUUGAGUCCCACAGAUGAAGGCAAGCCAUCGAAGUCUACUUUUUCAAUAAACGGCGUUAAAAACGUAUAUAGCGUUCCGAUUGGUUCAAACGCAGUCAGUAAUAAUACCGACCCACGGGCGGACGAGAACACGCUGGAAGGACUUCUCUCUGUUCGUGUGGAGAUGGGAAUAAUCUGACACACCUGUGCAAAUAUGUCAAUACUCACGAAGCCAAAAACACAAGGACUAUGCGCUGACUUGCCAACAUCUUUCUGCACAUUAGUAUAAGAUCUUACAGGCCGUGAGUCUAUGUUUAGCGCCGCUAUUUCCAGCUUAGGAGGAUUUCUGGACACUGCAGCCGAUCUAAGAUUAGACGCAGGUCCCUCGCGGCCAGAGACGUGCUUCUCACAUUAGUUAUAGGAAAAAACCAUCCUGAGAGGUGAUGUGCUCUCAGACUCGGUCAGAAACACUUGUGACGGUGAUUCACGUUCCUUUCGUUCCUUGUUUGCACACAGUGGAAAAAUAAUCACUUUUUUUGUUGUCUUCAUUGGGUUUUACUUCUUUGCUAUGAUUUCGACAGCUUUACCGCUCGAACGACAGCUAACGUAAUGAUAAAACGAUCAUCUUUAUCCUUCGGUUAUCUCUCUCUCAUUCACCACAGUGAACAAUAAUGCUGUGUUCUUCACUGAAUCGGCUGGAACGUGUGUUAUCAUCUUCAGAACCGUAGCAGCGGUGCACUUCUUCUCUAGAAUUAGAACGAUUCAAUGAAAAACUCAGCGUUAUGUCACUCGCCCGUCGACGGAUGCUCUGCAGCGAAUGGGUGCCGUCAGAAUUAGAGUCCAAACAGCUGAUAAACACACUCCCGUCUGUGGGUUAAUGUCUCGUGAAGCAUAAAGACUUUUCAUAAAGAGGUUUUUAUUUCAAACUAUUGCUUUGAGCCAAAAAUAUGUAAUCUGUAAUAAAGCUUCCAGCAACAUUAAUUUAGAGCCGUUUUGGAAAGUUCUAAACUUCAUAUUUCUCACCUGAUUAUGGUCGAGUAAACUUUUCAAUGGAUAAAGGACCAACCGAAACACCCUAAAAAUCUAUUUCACUUAAAAGAUGUUAACGUCGUGUGGAUUACUGUUAUGUUUGGCCUCUCAUUCUGACGGCACCCAUUCUCACAAAUAAUGAAAUGCUCAAUUUCUCCAAAUGAGCUAAUCUUCGGAUGGCCUGAUUUUCAGCUGAUUUACUUUAAGAAAUGAAUAAAUGUAGUUACUGUUAUGAUUCUUGGUAAAUGCACAACCAAACACGCUACGAUAAUGUUUGGGGUAUAAUCUACGCCACGGUCUUGAGUCGUUUCAGAUUAACCGAAGGAGCUCCAGUGUUCAUGCAAUCACCCAAAAAACACGUUAGAGAUGUGAAAGAACACACGAAUGAAGAGGAAAGCGAGCCGAGAAAAUACACCACCAACGUCCAUUUUAAAAAAUGGCUUCCGGUACGUAUUCCAGCUUAAUAAACUAGUAGAAGUUAAAAAAAAGACUUGAACCAUCUAGAGGCCAAACAUCCAACUAUUUGAGCGCAAUAUAUUCUUCAGUAUUUAUUGGACAGGUUUCCCAAUAUAUAAGCUUUGGUUUUCUGUCCACCGCCUGAUGUCUCAAAGAUACUUCUGAGUCUCGCCAGGCUCCGUCAGAUCUCUCUGGUUAUCAGCCACCUCCAGGAGACUAUUUCAGGCUGUGGGAAAAGUUAAGGCAUCUUCACCGAGCUCUGCGUCACGAACGGGAAAGACCCACAUCAUGGGAACGCGUUAUUUCGGUGCUCUUCUCCAAACAACUGCUCUAUUUCUGGAGCUGCGCUUCUAGUUUUGACCCCAGAGAGCCUUUGAAACGUCGCUGAAAUGUGAAAUUGAUUUUAAUUGUGAGGAACUCAAUUACAGGAGAAGAAACGCUCCAGAAGAAGACGCUAGCUCCAUCUGCUGCUCACUUCUGAGUCCAGAACUAACUCACAUGAACCAACCACACGCUGAGCAUUUAUUAUUAUUAUUAUUACUAUUUCUUGGACAUGUGCAUUUAUUAUAUGCAGUGUCAGAUUAAAUGUGAGGUGUUUGGUUCAUAGACCAAAGUUAAAAUGAUGGGGGAAAAAUGUUAUAAAAUCUUUUAAGCCAUUCCAACUUAACAUUUUAAGCGUAUUAACCUGUUGUGGCGAUGCAUUUAAAAUAAAAGAAACGUUAAAAAUGAUGUUAUUUGACCACGUUUAUGAUAAAAAAAGUUUUCCUUAAUAAAAGUGUGAUAAUAAAUACACAAUACUAAUAAAUAAUAAAAGAGGAGAAUGCAUUCAUGAAAGAGUCCCUUGAAAUUGUUAUAAGAUAUCCUAGCAUCUCCAGCAGAUAACGGAGCUGAAUUUCUACAUAAGGACCUCUUCAUGGAUCUUUAUGUUCAUGGACUGCCCUCUGCUGGAAGAACCUGGUCCUCAUCGCUCUGCUUCAGCUCAGACCUCCAGACAAACCCAUCUUCUCAAGGAAGUGAAAGCAGCAGCCACUUGAAGAAACUUCAUGACUUUUAAUGACGGUCAAAAACACUCAAAUCAAACGCGGCGCGGGUUUACCAAACUAAAAGCAAAAGUCAACUC